rnacentral:SRP_RNA from 1 species
GGCGGGCCUCCCCGCAUUGUGAAGUAGCCAAUCUGGUCAGGUGCGGAAGCAAGCAGCCACAACUAUUAAGCAAGUG